CACAGCCUGGAGCCCAAAUCCCGAGGCUGUGCACCAAAGUCCUUCCGUUUGUCACUGAUCCUGGUGCUUUCCCACAAGAAGUUGCUCAAUGUGGCUACCAGGGAGGCCAAACAUAAGCCUGUGUCUGCAGACAGGAGGGCACCAACAAUGUGUCAAGCAACCUCAUCUGCAUCGUCACAAGCAUCUGCAGUGUCGUUUGACAGUUGUGGAGCCCCUCCCACCAAUAAAGGUUAGCAACUUGUCGGGCUUUCAUGGCAUUUAUGGCAGCUAGAUUGUGCUUCUUUGAGUAAGUCCAAAUCAGUGCUACUAGGUAUGUAUGAUGCUUAUACACCUUACCCUAAUUUAAACAGAUGGUGUGGGCACUGAGAACAUGUAGCCCUGCAAAGCAUUUUAAAUUAUUCACAUAUUUCUCAUUUACCUAUUCACUCUCCCCUACAUCCUGUCUGUAGUCUGUCUCUUCUCUCUCUUCUCUGUUUUUAUAUCUUUUGUUCCGUCUUUUUCUCAUUCUUGGCAUCUGUUUCUGACUCUCUCCUGUUCUCUUUCUUACUGCCUAGCUGCCUCUUUGUCUGUCUAUACAUCUGUCUCUCCCUUGCUCUAUCUCUGUCUCUCUUUCUCUGUCUCUCUCUUCCUCUCCCUCUACCUACCCCCCCUCUAUCUCUCUCUCCCUCCCUCCCCAUCCUCUCUCUCCCUCUGUGUGUGUGUGUGUGU
ensembl:lncRNA